UACAGAGGUCCCAAGCGUUGUUCGGAUUCAUUGGGCGUAAAGGGUGCGUAGGCGGCGCGGUAAGUCGGGUGUGAAAUCUCGGAGCUUAGCUCCGAAACUGCAUUCGAUACUGCCGUGCUUGAGGACUGGAGAGGAGACUGGAAUUUACGGUGUAGCGGUGAAAUGCGUAGAUAUCGUAAGGAAGACCAGUGGCGAAGGCGGGUCUCUGGACAGUUCCUGACGCUGAGGCACGAAGGCCAGGGGAGCGAACGGG
rnacentral:rRNA from 1 species